AUACAGAUUCCUUCCCAUGUCUUGAGCGUCUAGUUCUAAGAUGUUGUCAUUAUUUGGAAGAUAUUCCUAGCAGUUUUGGACAAAAUUUGUGCUUGAAGUCGAUUGAGUUGGAUAGGUGUAGCGACCCUUCCAUUGUCGCUUCUGCCAAGGAUAUUCAAGAGAAGCUAAAGAAAAAUUUUGGAAAAGCAAAUUUUAAGAUCAAAAUCCAGGACCCUGAAUAUGAUGAAUCAGGGAACAUAGUAGAGUGUGAUGAAGAUGUUGGGGUUGGAAAAUUUGAGAAAGCUAAUUUUGAGAUCAAAAUCCAGUAGCCUGAAUAUAAUGGUGUUGGUAAAUUCAAGUCGUACAUCCACAAAUUAAA